AUAGAGUGCAUGUGAAUGCUCUUUGUGUGGGUUCUUUCAUUGUGAUCUCAUCUGAAAGGCUGUGAUAGUUCACACCUUACUGUGGUUUAAUUACUUGUAGUAUUUUUUAAUGUUGAUGCUAGGAGGCAAGAAGAGCACGGAAAAAGCUAUGUGCAGAAUGCAUGUUCAAGCAAUUUGAACAUGUUGAACAGACUUUAUUGACAGAAUGGAAUCCUUCAAGUCGAAGCUUUUAACCCUGGGCUAAUGACAGCAGGAGGGAAGGGCAAAUGGAUCUAUAACAGCAACAGCACAACUCACUGCAACUGAUAUGCCCCUUUGCCCUUUUCUGGAUUUCAUU
rnacentral:lncRNA from 1 species